rnacentral:rRNA from 1 species
CUUGGUGGCCAUAAAGCUGUGGUCCGACCCGUUCCCAUUCCGAACACGGCCGUCAAACACAGUCUUGCCGAUGGUAGUGGUUGUAUAGCUUCCGCGAGAGUAGGUUGCCGCCAGUC